UGUGGUUGUGGGCGCGGCGAGAGGCCGUGAACCUGGUCAGGUCCGAAAGGAAGCAGCCAUAGCGAACCCCCUCGGGUGCGCCCACCUAACU
rnacentral:SRP_RNA from 1 species